rnacentral:pre_miRNA from 12 species
ACAAGGGAAAAAGUGAAGCUGCCAGCAUGAUCUAUCUUCCGUUAGUAAGAUGCGGAUGCUAUAUUGCUAACCCUAGCUAGGUCAUGCUGCGACAGCCUCACUCCUUCCUACU